ACUGUUAAGUUAUUUAAACUAUUAACCUUCAAAGUUGAAAAAGGGUGCCACGGUUUGAUU
rnacentral:tRNA from 1 species